UGUGGGCGCCGUUUUCCCCGUCCAGGGGAGGAACUGGUCCCCGACGGCGUUUCGAGGUAAGUCCGAGCCCUCAGGCCGGCCUAGCUCUCGGGGCCAGCCUCAGCUUGAACCCACCCUGGUCGUUGAAACGUUUCUUCCGGAUCUCCGGACCUACAACCCCCUGCAGGGACGUCAUGAGCCUGCUGCAGACCUUGAACGUAAGUCAACGUCAAUCAAGAGGCCCAGCGGACAGGAGGGCCCAGUGGUAAGGCGGGCGCGUGGCUGUACCAGAACUUCUUAGGAAUAAAGCAAAGGUAAUGAGUUAAGUC